rnacentral:pre_miRNA from 1 species
AAGAUACUCCCUCCGUUCGGAAUUACUUGUCUCAAAAAUGGAUGUAUCUAGAACUAAAAUACAUCUAGAUACAUCCAUUUCCGCGACAAGUAAUUCCGAACAGAGGGAGUAUAAG